GCCUGGGUGGUUCAGUCGGUUAAGCAUCUGACUUUGGCUCAGGUCAUGAUCUCAUGGUUUGUGAGUUCAAGCCUCAUGUCGGGCA
rnacentral:tRNA from 1 species